CCGGAAUUACGUCACGAGGCAUAGCUUCCGGAACUUUGCGUUACCCGACACAUCACGUCGAGGCUUGAUCAUGCUCGUGAUCUGUACGUCUCUACUCCGGAAAAACUCGGAUUCUCAUCGACUGUAAACGGCAAAAUACGAGUGGUUAUCGAAUACUUAUUUCAUCCAAGAUGGCGGCAAAAUUGUAAAAAAAAACUCUGCAGGGAGAAAUGCACAUUCGUUUUGAGAUUCUUUCAUAAGCUUUUUUUUUACUAGCUAUUGUCAUCAAGCUUGUGUGUUCUUAGAUGUUUCGUUGGUUGAGUAUCUCAAGUUGAAUGAGUCGCCAGGCCAGGACGGUGAUAGUACUUGAUGAAGAUGAGAAGACAUUUCCACAAACCAAACACACAAGCUCCUCACAGAAAGUGAAGUCCAGUAGACCUCUGCAAGGAAAGAGUGGACCCACAAAGAGCGCAUCAUCAUCACAAAAGAAAAAAUGGAUAUAUUCAUCAUUUGGGGACUUCGGGGACCAAUUUGACAUUCCAGACUCAAAACAAAAGAAAAAACAGACAGAACUGACUUCUUUUAUUGAUGAACACAACAAGAUCUCAAUAAAAGUAAAAAAGCUGGAAGAUGAAUUAUGGAUAGAAAAAUACAAACCAACAACAGAAAUUGAGCUUGCAGUGCAUAAAAAGAAAGUAGCUGAAGUGCGAUGCUGGCUUUUAGAGCAGUUGACCUCAAAGCCUUCAAAUGCAAUAUUAUUGCUAACUGGGCCAGUUGGUGCUGGAAAAACUGCCACCAUUCAUAUGCUUCAAACAGAGUUAUCAUUUGAGAUUCAAGAAUGGAUCAACCCCCUAGUGACGACAGAUGAAGAACUCAGCAACAACGACUACUCCAAGUUCAUGUCCUAUCAGUCACAGCUCUCCCAGUUCAAAGAGUUCCUCCUGAGAGCAAACAAAUACCCAACCCUAUCCAUAUUUGGAACUAGUACUGAUGCAAAACCAAGGAAAGUCAUCCUGGUAGAGGACCUUCCAAAUAUAUUCUUCCGUGAUUCAAAGAAGUUUCAUGAAGUGUUGCAGUCAUAUCAGUCUGCUGGGAGAAGUCCAGUUGUCCUUAUUAUAUCUGACAGUCACCAUGGAGACUCUAAUGUUCACCGGUUAUUGCCCAAGAGUGUGCAGGAAAGCUUGGGGGUGACCUCCAUCAGUUUUAACCCUAUUGCUCGUACAAGUCUUGUCAAAACCUUGAAUAGAAUUGCUUCUUCCGAAAACCAGAAGGCUGGACGUGAGUUUGUGCUGCCUGGUAAAGAGGCGAUUGAGGGGCUUGCUCAAAGCAGCACUGGUGAUAUCCGAACAGCUAUAAAUGCAUUGCAGUUUUCUUGUCUCAGAGAGCAUCCAAGACCUAAGACUAGCAACCUGUCAUUGCUGAAGAAAACUAAAUCAGGAACUUCUGUACAGAAGACGUCAUGGCAAAAUCGGUUGUCAGAAGACAGCUCUAGGGCAGGCCAAGAUUCAGGCGAACCAUCUGUGUUAUCUGCCAUUGGUGGGCGGGAUAGCUCUAUAUUCCUAUUUAGAGCACUGGGGAAAAUACUCUACUGUAAACGAGACCCUGUAACAUCUGACAAGGACCUGCUACCUCCUCAUCUCACCCACUGUGCUAGGAACACUCCGCAGUUCUGCCCAGAGGAGGUUGCUGAGAGGGCACACCUGUCCAGUGAACUGCUUCAGUUGUACCUUCAUCAGAACUAUCUGGAUUUCUUCACCGAUCUGGACAGUGUGGAAGUUGCGCUUGAGUACAUGAGCGAUGCUGAUAUGAUGUCUGCUGUGUGGAUGCACCGUUCUUUGCUAGUACCAUACAUGGCGAGUAUUGCAACGCGUGGCCUAAUGUUUGCCAAUGCACGUUACGGCCCCACGCCAGGUUUCUCUGCACCAAGCCGAGGAGGCUGGAGGCCGCUUCAUAAACCCCAGUGGUUUGAGAUCAAUAAACGAAUGCGUGAUAGUAAACAGGCUGCACGGGCACUUUUCCCGGAUCAUGCGUCGAACGCCACCGUUCUACAUACAGAGAUAUUACCAUAUUUGGCGAUCACUGACGCUCCCCUCAAGACACCAGGACAAAUAGAAUUCCUCCAACAAAUAGGUCGACUGCAAAGAGGACGGUCUUCUAACAGGUCUUUCACUGUCACCUUGGACGAAAAGGACUGUGGCGGAGACUCUGACGAAGAGUCGGUCCCAGGUUCCCAGCCGGAGGCCUCGACGUCCCGGACGCUACAGGAUGCUGGAGCGAUUGUAACCGUGUUGGAGACUAGGGAGAGUCGGGCACCGUCCCUUGAGGAGGAGAUUCUGUCUUGCGAGGAAGAAGAUGUGGUUAUUGGGGACUAUGACGACGACUGGUGAAUAACAGGCAGAGUAACGGAAGUCUAGAUCGUGCCAUGACAACAAAUGCUUUGGUAUAGCAAGUUGGCCACAUUGCAAAACGAGUUGGUGUUGGGCGAUUCUGAGUGAAAAAGACAGCCAGUUUGAAUGCGAUAUCAUGUUAUAUCAUGUUAUACCAUGUAAUGUCUGUGUAUGAUGCUAUGGACAGAUGAGUCCUACUCAAGCAUCUCAGGCGCCAUGAGGUCGUUAAAGGAAAAGUUGUUGUAAAUACUAAGUGUUCCUUGACGUUCCUAAACCGAUCCGAACCAAUAAAAACAAAUUAUUUAUAGAUCCAAUAGUCCCCAAGGAUUAUUAUUUGUCAGAUCUCACAGAAGACUUUAUUCAUUGGUUUACCCUCUAAAGGUGUGCUCUGAUUUCUGUUUAUGUGUUGGUUUGCCGUGAUGUGUACAGUCACCGAACUAACCGCGUCUCUAAAACUCUACCCCUGCUUUAUAGUAGGAUGGCGUGUUAAAAUGACCGUUUUGCACACUUUUGAGAAAUAACACCAAACUUGGCAGAUACAGGGCAAACUUAUUGAUUUCAGACGGCAACACCACCAUGCUAUCUGGCUUCGAUUUUCUAAAAAAGAAACCGUGAUGAGUCGCAUUCGAGAAUAGCGACUAUGGCUGCCAAGAUGGAGGCGACAAAGCACAUGGCUGCCUUUAUCUGUGGGGGCAAGCGAAAGAAGCUUCACAGAGCAACCUUGGAAUUAAACGUUUAAGAAAUAAGGGCCGGCAACAAUGUUAUAUUGACCAAACUUUCAUUCGGGGAUAUGGCCAAAAUAAGUGUGAACUACCACAGUAACUGCAAAGUACCACAAUAUGUGCAAUUACCACAAUAAGUGCAAAGUACCACAAUAAGUGCAAUUACCACAGUAAGUGUAAAGUACCACAAUAAGUGCAAAGUACCACAAUAAGUGCAAUUACCACAGUAAGUGCAAUUACCACAGUAAAUGAAAAGUACCACAAUAGGUGCAAUUACCGCAAUAAGUGCAAUUACCACAAUAAGUCCAAUUACCACAGUAAGUGCAAAGUACCACAAUAAGUGCAAUUACCACAAUAAGUGCAAAGAACCUCAAUAAGUGCGAUUACCGUAGUAAGUGCAAUUACCACAGUAAGUGCAAAGUACCACAAUAAGUGCAAAGUACCACAAUAAGGGCAAUUACCACAGUAAGUGCAAAGUACCAAAAUAAGUGCAAUUACCACAGUAAGUGCAAAGUACCAAAAUAAGUGCAAAGUACCACAAUAAGUGCAAUUACCACAAGUGCAAAGUACCACAGUAAGUCCAAUUACCACAGUAAGUGCAAAGUACCACAAUAAGUGCAAUUACCACAAUAAGUGCAAAGUACCACAAUAAGUGCAAUUACCACAGUAAGUGCAAAGUACCACAAUAAGUGCAAUUACCACAGUAAGUCUAUUACCACAAUAAGUGCAAAGUACCACAAUAAGUGCAAAGUACCACAGUAAGUGCUAAGUACCACAAUAAGUGCAAUUACCACAGUAAGUGCAAUUACCACAGUAAGUGCAAAGUACCAAAAUAAGUGCAAAGUACCACAAUGAGUGCAAUUACCACAGUAAGUGCAAUUACCACAAUAAGUGCAAAGUACCACAAUAAGUGCAAUUACCACAGUAAGUGCAAUUACCACAACAAGUGCAAAGUACCACAAUAAGUGCAAAGUACCACAGUAAGUGCUAAGUACCACAAUAAGUGCAAUUACCAUAGUAAGUGCAAUUACCACAGUAAGUGCAAAGUACCACAGUAAGUGCAAUUACCACAAGUGCAAAGUACCACAGUAAGUCCAAUUACCACAGUAAGUGCAAAGUACCACAAUAAGUGCAAUUACCACAGUAAGUGCAAUUACCAAAAUAAGUGCAAAGUACCACAAUAAGUGCAAUUACCACAAGUGCAAAGUACCACAGUAAGUCCAAUUACCACAGUAAGUGCAAAGUACCACAAUAAGUGCAAUUACCACAAUAAGUGCAAUUACCACAAUAAGUGCAAUUACCACAGUAAGUGCAAUUACCACAGUAAGUGCAAAGUACCACAAUAAGUGCAAAGUACCACAAUAAGUGCAAUUACCACAAGUGCAAAGUACCACAGUAAGUCCAGUUACCACAGUAAGUGCAAAGUACCACAAUAAGUGCAAUUACCACAAUAAGUGCUAAGUACCACAGUAAGUGCAAAGUACCACAAGUGCAAAGUACCACAAUAAGUGCAAUUACCACAAUAAGUGCUAAUUACCACAGUAAGUGCAAAGUACCACAAUAAGUGCAAUUACUACAAUAAGUGCAAAGUACCACAAUAAGUGCAAUUACCAGAGUAAGUGCAAUUACCACAGUAAGUGCAAAGUACCACAGUAAGUGCAAAGUACCACAAUAAGUGCAAUUACCACAAUAACUGCAAAGUACCACAAUAAGUGCAGUUACCACAGUAAGUGCAAAGUACCACAAUAAGUGCAAUUACCACAAUAAGUGCAAUUAGUUCCACAAUAAGUGUAAUUACCACCGUAAGUGCAAAGUACCACAAUAUGUGCAAAGUACCACAAUACCACAAUAAAUGCAAAGUACCACAAUAAGUGCAAUUACCACAGUAAGUGCAAAGUACCACAAUAAGUGCAAAGUACCACAAUAAGUGCAGUUACCACAGUAAGUGCAAAGUACCACAAUAAGUGCAAUUACCACAAUAAGUGCUAAUUACCACAGGAAGUGCAUAGUUCCACAAUAAGUGCAAUUACCACAGUAAGUGCAAUUACCACAGUAAGUGUAAAGUACCACAAUAAGUGCAAAGUACCACAAUAAGUGCAAUUACCACAGUAAGUGCAAUUACCACAGUAAGUGCAAUUACCACAGUAAGUGCAAAGUACCACAAUAAGUGCAAUUACCACAGUAAGUGCAAUUACCACAGUAACAAUUACUACAGUAACUGUAAAGUACCACAAUAAGUGCAAUUACCACAAGUGCAAAGUACCACAAUAAGUCCAAUUACCACAGUAAGUGCAAAGUACCACAAUAAGUGCAAUUACCACAAUAAGUGCAAAGUACCACAGUAAGUGCAAUUACCACAGUAAGUGCUAAUUACCACAUUAAGUGCAAAGUACCACAGUAAGUGCUAAUUACCACAAUAAGUGCAAUUACCACAGUAAGUCCAAUUACCACAGUAAGUGCAAAGUACCACAAUAAGUGCAAUUACCACAAUAAGUGCUAAUUACCACAAGAAGUGCAAAGUACCACAGUAAGUGCAAUUACCACAGUAAGUGCAAAGUACCACAAUAAGUGCAAAGUACCACAAUAAGUGCAAUUACCACAGUAAGUGUAAAGUACCACAAUAAGUGCGAAGUACCACAAUAAGUGCAAUUACCACAAUAAGUGCAAAGUACCACAAUAAGUGCAAUUACCACAGUAAGUGCAAUUACCACAGUAAGUGCAAAGUACCACAAUAAGUGCAAUUACCACAGUUAGUCCAAUUACCACAGUAAGUGCAAAGUACCACAAUAAGUGCAAUUACCACAAUAAGUGCAAAGUACCACAAUAAGUGCAAUUACCACAAUAAGUGCAAUUACCACAGUAAGUGCAAUUACCACAGUAAGUGCAAUUACCACAGUAAGUGCAAAGUACCACAAUAAGUGCAAAGUACCACAAUAAGUGCAAUUACCACAGUAAGUGUAAAGUACCACAAUAAGUGCGAAGUACCACAAUAAGUGCAAUUACCACAAUAAGUGCAAAGUACCACAAUAAGUGCAAUUACCACAGUAAGUGCAAUUACCACAGUAAGUGCAAAGUACCACAAUAAGUGCAAUUACCACAGUAAGUGCAAAGUACCACAAUAAGUCCAAUUACCACAGUAAGUGCAAAGUACCACAAUAAGUGCAAUUACCACAAUAAGUGCAAAGUACCACAGUAAGUGCAAUUACCACAGUAAGUGCUAAUUACCACAUUAAGUGCAAAGUACCACAAUAAGUGCAAUUACCACAGUAAGUUAAAAGUACCACAGUAAGUGCAAAGUACCACAAUAUGUGCAAUUACCACAAUAAGUGCUAAUUACCACAGGAAGUGCAAAGUACCACAAUAAGUGCAAUUACCACAGUAAGUGCAAUUACCACAGUAAGUGCAAUUACCACAGUAAGUGCAAAGUACCACAAUAAGUGCAAAGUACCACAAUAAGUGCAAUUACCACAGUAAGUGUAAAGUACCACAAUAAGUGCAAUUAUCACAAGUGCAAAGUACCACAAUAAGUCCAAUUACCACAGUAAGUGCAAAGUACCACAAUAAGUGCAAUUACCACAAUAAGUGCGAAGUACCACAGUAAGUGCAAUUACCACAGUAAGUGCUAAUUACCACAUUAAGUGCAAAGUACCACAAUAAGUGCAAUUACCACAGUAAGUUAAAAGUACCACAGUAAGUGCAAAGUACCACAAUAAGUGCAAUUACCACAGUAAGUGCAAAGUACCACAAUAAAUGCAAAGUACCACAAUAAGUGCUAAGUACCACAGUAAGUGCAAUUACCACAGUAAGUGCAAAGUACCACAAGUGCAAAGUACCACAAUAAGUGCAAUUACCACAGUAAGUCCAAUUACCACAAUAAGUGCAAUUACCACAAUAAGUCCAAUUACCACAGUAAGUGCAAAGUACCACAAUAAGUGCAAUUACCACAAUAAGUGCAAAGAACCACAAUAAGUGCGAUUACCGUAGUAAGUGCAAUUACCACAGUAAGUGCAAAGUACCACAAUAAGUGCAAAGUACCACAAUAAGUGCAAUUACCACAGUAAGUGCAAAGUACCACAAUAAAUGCAAAGUACCACAAUAAAUGCAAAGUACCACAAUAAGUGCAAUUACCACAGUAAGUGCAAAGUACCACAAUAAAUGCAAAGUACCACAAUAAGUGCAAUUACCACAGUAAGUGCAAAGUACCACAAGUGCAAAGUACCACAAUAAAUGCAAAGUACCACAAUAAGUGCUAAUUACCACAGUAAGUGCAAAGUACCACAAUAAGUGCAAUUACCACAGUAAGUUCAAAGUACCACAGCGAAGAAGACUACUGUACUUUCUAGCGUGGAAUGUCAAGAAGAGCAGCGAGGAAGACUACUGUUCUUUCUAGCGUGGAGGGUCAAGAAGAGCAGCGAGGAAGACUACUGUACUUUCUAGCGUGGAGUGUCAAGAAGAGCAGCGAGGAAGACUACUGUACUUUCUCGCGUUGAGAGUCAAGAAGAGCAGUAAGGAAGACUACUGUACUUUCUCGCGUGAAGAGUAAAGGAAGACUACUGUACUUUCUAGCUUGGAGUGUCAAGAAGAGCAGCAAGGAAGACAACUGCGUAGGACAGUUACAGUCUCGUGACAAGUCGGGCUGUACUCGAGCAAGUGCCAAGCACAUGAGAAAACUAAAGCAAGAGCGAAACCAGGUGAC